GCCAGAGUGGGGUAGUGGUAUGAGUGUUGGGCUAUGACUCUGGAGACCAGGGUUCAAUUCCCAGCUCAGCCA
rnacentral:tRNA from 1 species